UAAUUAUCAAUUUUACCCACAUUGAAAUUGAUUCGGAACUAUAAUUUUUUCGAUACUCUCUCAGAGUCUACUUAUGUGGGUUUUUAUUUAAAAAAUAAUAGGUGUGGUCGAGUAAUGUCUUCUUCACGUACGUACACCACGGAAUAAGACGCGUACAAUUUCGAAAAAAUCGCAAAUACCGAAAAACGCUGUGGUAUAAAA